rnacentral:lncRNA from 1 species
CUGAGUGCUCCUGUCACAGACCCACAAGUGUGGGUACGGGGCUGUUACAGUGCCAUGAGGAAUGAACUGGAAAAGCUGUCCAACAGGAGGCUGCCUUUGAGAGUUUAUUUCCCUGUGAGGAAAUGGCCUUCCCCAUGCUGCUCCAUGAGGGUGUCCUUCUCUGGCCUUGUCGCCGCAGCUGCGUGCCCACAGGCUCCUGCAGACAACGUGUUUUGCUUGUUGACAUAAAAGUGCUUCUCAAGGACUGGCCAAAACAUGACCUUGAAAUUGUAAUCUUAUUAACAGAAGCUUGUAUUGGUGGUGUUUCAUUUGAUCUACUUACUCGUCUCUACAGACUUGCUUUGACAUUGCCUUUGUCUCAUCUGGACAUUACAGCAUGGCCUACAUAAUGCCUACUAAAUUUAUUUUACCACUGGCUUUAGCAUAAUACCAUCCCAUAGAGCAGGCAUGCUGUGAUCAUCAACGUGACCGUGGAAAUAAGCAGACAUAAUUGGAAAAACCUUGCUGAAAUGGCUAGCUCGUACCCUCUGCAUGUGCGCUCUCACAGGCCUGCGGCUUGGCUGGGCCUCGUGCCCUCAUGGCCACAGGUACGUGCCCUCUUUGCAAGGUCUGCACCCACCGCCUUGUCUGGGGCACCACGGCUUUCCUCAGGUGCUCAGCUGGCUGAGAGAUGUUCCCCGAGUCCAGCUUGGCUCCACGCUGAAGGAUUUUAAAGCUCAGGCUGAAAGUCGAAGGGCUUCUUCAAAUACCAGGGCUGUGACAUGGCAUCAUCCAUCUGAGGAGCUCUUCAGGUUGGGAAGUCAGGAGAAGGAGCAAAAUUUUUCUGAGUUCAUCUUUACAGUGGCAGGAGGAGGAAUGAGCAAGACGAGAAAAGGAAGAAAAUCUUACUGA